rnacentral:rRNA from 1 species
GACAGAGGCCUCGAGCGUUAGGCGGAAUCACUGGGCUUAAAGCGCGUGUAGGCGGAUCGUUAAGUGCCUUGUGAAAUCCUGCGGCUCAACCGCAGAACCGCUGGGCAUACUGGGCGGUCGUUGGGCCACUCAGGGGUCACUGGAACAAGCGGUGGAGCGGUGAAAUGCGUAGAGAUCGGGAAGAACAUCGGUGGCGAAAGCGCUCUGCUGGACUGCAACUGACACUCAGGGACGAAAGGCUAGGGGAGCGAAUGGG